UACGAAGGGGGCUAGCGUUGUUCGGAAUUACUGGGCGUAAAGGGCGCGUAGGCGGACAGUUUAGUCAGAGGUGAAAGCCCAGGGCUCAACCUUGGAAAUGCCUUUGAUACUGGCUGUCUUGAGUUCGGGAGAGGUGAGUGGAAUGCCGAGUGUAGAGGUGAAAUUCGUAGAUAUUCGGCGGAACACCAGUGGCGAAGGCGACUCACUGGCCCGAUACUGACGCUGAGGCGCGAAAGCGUGGGGAGCAAACAGG
rnacentral:rRNA from 1 species